GGACCUUUAGCUCAACUGGUUAGAGCAGACGGCUCAUAACCGUCCGGUCGUAGGUUCGAAUCCUACAAGGUCCA
rnacentral:tRNA from 1 species